AUUUUAUUUGGUAGUGAAUCAAGAACUGACGUUUACUCUUUAAGUUACAUCGCUAUGUUAUUUCUGUAUAUGAAUGGCGUGCUUACUACGCAGAAUUCGGUUAGAAAUAUGUAUGAAGUGAAAAAUUCCUGCUAACUAUAUUUCCGAUAAAUGGGAGGAAAGAAAUUUUACGCUGCCCCUGGGUGUACGUCAUCCAGUAGGCAGACUGGUUUGAAACUCUUAAACUUUUCCAGAGAUUCAGUACGAUAAGUCUGUCUUAAUGGGUUUGUUAUGUGUUACAUAAUCCAGCGAAGAAGUUAAGUUUAGCUAGUGUCUGCAUUAAAUGUAUUAAACUUUACCCCUCAUCCUAGCACCGGCACCAUGACAAGUAUAAUAUUGUAACCAGCACCAUGUUUGUAAUACUUAUAGAUGAAUUAUUUCAAGGUUUUGAGACAAUAUGUAAUACUCUUACAGGGCUGUGGUAUGGACAGGAAGGGUUGGGAUAUCCUGCACCAUUGAUUCUGCUAGAAUGCUGCACUAUAAAUUUUUGUGCACUAGAAAGUGAUUUCAGUACAACUGAACAGAUUCGCAGUUCCAUGUAGAUCAGAUUCUGCAGCACAAUCACUCCCACAACCUCCUUAUCAUUACACACCAUUCCAGGAGGGUGCUGCAGUAAAUACCUGGCAACAGCAGCAUUUAUUGAGGAGACUGACAAACUCUUUGAGAGUGUAAAUGGUGGAAUGCCUUUUGACCCUAAGAAAACACUGUGUUGCCCACUGAGCGAUAACAGUCGCAAUAUAGAGCACUGGGAAAUGGCAAGUAUUGGGAUAAAGAGUUGGAUCUUCCUCAAGGAUGGUAAACCCACCUUUCUUCAACCUCCUCCUCCUCCGCAGAAUGGGUGGCUGAUUAACAUAACUGCUGCCCAGCAUGUGUGGAAGACAGUGAAAGAGGCUAACCACUACCUCACUUUUGCUGUUUGAAGUGAAUUGUGUUGUUACUGGCCCAAAUUCUGCAACUUCCACAGUGAUGCAAUUGGUCUAGAUCAGUGGUUAUCAAACUUUUUACCUUUGAGCCCCCCCUGACAAGAGAAAAUACUCUGAGGACCCACCAGCUUGUUUUUUUUUUAUCA